GGUGCCGUGGCGGAGUGGUUACGCACCAGCCUGCAAAGCUGAGUACCCCGGUUCGAUUCCGGGCGGCACCUCCA
rnacentral:tRNA from 1 species